ensembl:lncRNA
UGGGCCCAGAGAAAGGGACGGCCGAGCGGCGGGGUGUGUUGGCGCUGCGUGUUAAAGCGAGCCGCUGUGAUCGUGAGUGGCAGGAGGGAGACAACGGAGAAGGAACGGGACGGCGGGGCCCUGUGACAAGAGCUGUAAUGGAUGUUUCGUUCGCCGCUGAGCUCACCUGCUUUCAGACGCCCACAAAGGAUGACGGGAUGCUCCUCAGCAGGAAACGGAAAUCAGGGCCCAGGCUGGAAAUGGAACUCUCUCUCCAAACACAAGCAUAAACAUGACUCAGGUGAGUGGGCAGUGAAAUAAAGCAUGACGAACAAAAACCCUGCAGCACGCUAACCCCGUGUGCAUCGGGUGUCUCUUUAGCUGAGGGCACAAGUUCAUGUUUAUUUUUUGCAGUUAACCGAUGAAACGACCGGUGAGUAGUAGAGGACGGCUCUGCUGUUAAUCAGAAGUGCCACAAUGUGGAUAAAAAAAAAUAACGGUUCUAUCCAUCUUUCUUCAAUCUUAUCUUAGUGUACUCUCUUUCCCAACGGCCAUUGAUAAUCAUUGUCUUUGUUGCUUGAAGAGGAAUCCUAUUGGCGAAAACCUCGUAGAUGCUGUUGGAUUAGCAAAUCAAGCUGAUAAUCUGUUCAAAUCCCCAAGAUGUCAUCACUGUGGUGGACCUUGGAGGAUUGAAGAAAUGCUAAUGUAUCCGGCAGCUCUUCUUUGGGUCCAGUGGGACCUCACCUGCAGCAAAAUGACGAGAGUAUUAUCUCCAUGCAAAUAUUACCAGAGGAAGGUAAACAGGAAAUGUAUCUCAUGGCUGGCUAUGGGCGAGUCAUCAGCUUCCUCUGAAACACAGAAGAGGAAAAGCAAGAUACCUCACAGUUCAAAACGACCUCAGAGCCUGCUGUAAUUUCCGUUGCAGCCUCCGUAUGUGAAAGUACUGUUAAGUGUUUCGCCGGCUUUUGUU